GAUGAAGAACGUAGCGAAAUGCGAUAAGUAAUGUGAAUUGCAGAAUUCAGUGAAUCAUCGAAUCUUUGAACGCACAUUGCGCCCCUUGGUAUUCCGAGGGGCAUGCCUGUUCGAGCGUCAUUACACCACUCAAGCUAUGCUUGGUAUUGGGCGUCGUCCUUAGUUGGGCGCGUCUUAAAGACCUCGGCGAGGCCACUCCGGCUUUAGGCGUAGUAGAAUUUAUUCGAACGUCUGUCAAAGGAGAGGAACUCUGCCGACUGAAACCUUUAUUUUUCUAGGUUGACCUCGGAUCAGGUAGGGAUACCCGCUGAACUUAAGCAUAUCAAUAAGCGGAGGA
rnacentral:misc_RNA from 1 species